AUACUAACCUCGUGCUGGGCUUGCGGUGAUCACUAAGGCCGCGGCCCCAUGUUGAGGCACGGCCAUUGCACAGGGGCUUGCCGAAGCAUGCCACUUCCCCUUGUCGGAGAAGAUGGAGCACGUAAUUUUUGGUAGGUAGUGGGCUAGGAAUUCGUUCUAGGCCCCG
rnacentral:snRNA from 1 species